rnacentral:rRNA from 1 species
CCAGAGAACUUAGCAGAGAUGCUUUGGUGCCUUCGGGAACUCUGAGACAGGUGCUGCAUGGCUGUCGUCAGCUCGUGUUGUGAAAUGUUGGGUUAAGUCCCGCAACGAGCGCAACCCUUAUCCUUUGUUGCCAGCGGUUAGGCCGGGAACUCAAAGGAGACUGCCAGUGAUAAACUGGAGGAAGGUGGGGAUGACGUCAAGUCAUCAUGGCCCUUACGAGUAGGGCUACACACGUGCUACAAUGGCGCAUACAAAGAGAAGCGACCUCGCGAGAGCAAGCGGACCUCAUAAAGUGCGUCGUAGUCCGGAUUGGAGUCUGCAACCCGACUCCAUGAAGUCGGAAUCGCUAGUAAUCGUGGAUCAGAAUGCCACGGUGAAUACGUUCCCGGGCCUUGUACACACCGCCCGUCACACCAUGGGAGUGGGUUGCAAAAGAAGUAGGUAGCUUAACCUUCGGGAGGGCGCUUACCACUUUGUGAUUCAUGACUGGGGUGAAGUCGUAACAAGGUAAGCGUAGUGCU